AUUGUCGUCAUUGCGGUUUCGUUAUCAUGGUUAUUCUUAAGACUAAAGCUCUACAAGGGUAUAUAAAUACCGUGUUGAGCUGAGGAUCAGAUUAGUUACAGUUGAUGCAGUAUAAAUUAUACAACUAGACGAGCUUGUUCGAAUCCACUGAAUCAACAUGAAGAUACUCAUUGCCUUUGUCGCCCUGUCAGUAGUGUGCAGUGUGUACUCUCAGACAUACGGUGUGUCGAGUUAUGAUCCUUAUGAUAACUAUGGCGGGGUCGGUUUACUUACUGGAGCAAGACGACAUAUAGGCUCCAGACGUUUAACAGGAGGUUCCUUACUGGGAAGGACUCGUGGGCUGACCAGACUAGGCCGUGGAAGAGUAUAUAGACCAAGAAGCUCAUAUAUAGAUACAAGUUCAAGUUAUUUUCCUAGAAGGAGACGAGUUUAUUCUACAACAUAUUAGACGUUUUGAAAUCCAAUACAAUGGUGUCUUCCUACAUUCUACCUUCUUUUCAAGAGACAGUGCCAAAUACGUUGAUGCAUAUAUAUGUUGUUUAAUUCCUUGUUUAUAUUUCCUUUGUACGCAAAAGCAGUCAUUUGAAAAAUAAAAAUGUGUAU